rnacentral:snoRNA from 1 species
UUGGCUCUUUAAACCCCUGUCCUAUUUGGAAUGGACGAUGAGCGAAGACCCCAAAAGGAACAGAAAGUCCAAUGUGCUGAGCUUCUACUGUGGUCCAACACCACACUUGGCAUUU